rnacentral:rRNA from 1 species
AUGUUGUUGUGUUCCAAAUGCAGCUCCUCCAAUCUCUUCAGAUCACCUAUAGACUCUGGAAUAUUGCCGCUGAGCUCAUUCCCGCCAAGAUCAAGGGUGACCAGAUUUGUGAGCUUGCUAAUGCCAUCGAGAGCUCCUUCUAACCUAUUGCUAGGCAACGAGAGGUGCUCUAACGAGGUUACGUUGAAGAGUUCAUCUAGAAGUGUACCAUUGAGGUUGUUGUAG